rnacentral:rRNA from 1 species
GACGAACGCUGGCGGCGUGCUUAACACAUGCAAGUCGAACGGAAAGGCCCUGCUUUUGUGGGGUGCUCGAGUGGCGAACGGGUGAGUAACACGUGAGUAACCUGCCCUUGACUUUGGGAUAACUUCAGGAAACUGGGGCUAAUACCGGCUAGGAGCUCCUGCUGCAUGGUGGGGGUUGGAAAGUUUCGGCGGUUGGGGCUGGACUCGGGGCUUAUCAGCUUGUUGGUGGGGUAGUUGCUUACCAAGGCUUUGACGGGUAGCCGGCCUGAGAGGGUGAACGGCGACAUUGGGACUGCGAUACGGCCCAGACGGCUACGGGAGGCAGCAGUGGGGAAUAUUGCCCAAUGGGGGGAAGCCUGAUGCAGCAACGCCGCGUGCGGGAUGACGGCCUUCGGGUUGGAAACCGCUUUCGCCUGUGACGAAGCGUGAGUGACGGUAAUGGGUAAAGAAGCACCGGCUAACUACGUG